rnacentral:tRNA from 1 species
GUGGGUAUAGCUCAGUGGUAGAGCGCAUGCUUAACACGCAUGAGCAAGUACGAGGUCCUGGGUUCAGUUCCCAGGACUUCCA